AUUUGAAGGAGCCAGAGGCGGUGGGCAGUAAGGUCGCAUAUCAGCUCCAAAAGAAUAGGAAAGAAGAUAGCUGGUUACAAUUCUCCUGCUUCUCACAGUACAAUAUGGUUCCAUGGGAUUUGGUCCUUGAUAGAAUCAAAACAGGGAUGGGGACUUAAGCAACCUGGCUGGAGAGAUCAGUCAUGAAAAAGGGGCAAGCCACCCCAGGCCUAGGAGAGACUGCUGCUGACACAGGGUGCUGGAUCUGAAGAGGCUGUUACACCAUGCUUAGCUAUGAGGGGGUCCACGGGCUGGUGAUUGAUGCCUCUACAGGAAGGUCUCAGAAUUAAGUUAGAUUCACAAUUCUAAUACUAUGGAGCUAAAAUUGAUGCAUU